UGAGGAAUAUUGGUCAAUGGGCGAGAGCCUGAACCAGCCAAGUAGCGUGCAGGACGACGGCCCUAUGGGCUGUAAACUGCUUUUGUAUGGGGAUAAAGUCAAUCACGUGUGAUUGUUUGCAGGUACCAUACGAAUAAGGACCGGCUAAUUCCGUGCCAGCAGCCGCGGUAAUACGGAAGGUCCGGGCGUUAUCCGGAUUUAUUGGGUUUAAAGGGAGCGUAGGCUGGAGAUUAAGUGUGUUGUGAAAUGUAGACGCUCAACGUCUGACUUGCAGCGCAUACUGGUUUCCUUGAGUACGCACAACGUUGGCGGAAUUCGUCGUGUAGCGGUGAAAUGCUUAGAUAUGACGAAGAACUCCGAUUGCGAAGGCAGCUGACGGGAGCGCAACUGACGCUGAAGCUCGAAGGUGCGGGUAUCGAACAGGAUUAGAUACCCUGGUAGUCCGCACAGUAAACGAUGGAUGCCCGCUGUUGGUACUUGGUAUCAGCGGCUAAGCGAAAGCAUUAAGCAUCCCACCUGGGGAGUACGCCAGCAACGGU
rnacentral:rRNA from 1 species